rnacentral:rRNA from 1 species
UUUUAAANACCUAGUAAUAGGUAUGCUUUAGGAGGGGCUUGCGCCAUAUUAGUUAGUUGGUAGGGUAAUGGCCUACCAAGACGAUGAUGUGUAGCUGGACUGAGAGGUUGAACAGCCACAUUGGGACUGAGACACGGCCCAAACUCCUACGGGAGGCAGCAGUAGGGAAUUUUCGGCAAUGGAGGAAACUCUGACCGAGCAACGCCGCGUGAAUGACGAAGUACUUCGGUAUGUAAAGUUCUUUUAUCAAGGAAGAAAAGCAAAUGGCGAACCAUUUGUUUGCCGGUACUUGAUGAAUAAGCCCCGGCUAAUUAUGUGCCAGCAGCCGCGGUAAGACAUAAGGGGCAAGUGUUAUCCGGAAUUAUUGGGCGUAAAGGGUGCGUAGGCGGUCUAGUAAGUCAGUGGUGUAAUGGCAACGCUUAACGUUGUCCGGCUAUUGAAACUGCUAAACUUGAGUUAGAUAGAGGCGAGUGGAAUUCCAUGUGUAGCGGUAAAAUGCGUAAAUAUAUGGAGGAACACCAGAGGCGUAGGCGGCUCGCUGGGUCUUAACUGACGCUGAGGCACGAAAGCGUGGGGAGCAAACAGGAUUAGAUACCCUGGUAGUCCACGCCGUAAACGAUGAGUACUAAGUGUCGGGUUAAACCGGUACUGAAGUUAACACAUUAAGUACUCCGCCUGAGUAGUACGUACGCAAGUAUGAAACUUAAAGGAAUUGACGGGACUCCGCACAAGCGGUGGAUCAUGUUGUUUAAUUCGAAGAUACCCGAAAAACCUUACCAGGUCUUGACAUGUUUUUGCAAAAUGAUAGUAAUAUCGUGGAGGUUACCAGAAACACAGGUGGUGCAUGGUUGUCGUCAGCUCGUGUCGUGAGAUGUUAGGUUAAGUCCUAAAACGAGCGAAACCCUUAUCGUUAGUUGCCAGCACGUUAUGGUGGGGACUUUAACGAGACUGCCAAUGAUAAAUUGGAGGAAGGUGAGGAUCACGUCAAAUCAGCAUGCCCCUUAUGACCUGGGCUACAAACGUGAUACAAUGGCUGUUACAAAGGGUAGCUGAAACGCAAGUUCUUGGCCAAUCCCCAAAAACAGUCCCAGUCCGGAUUGAAGUCUGCAACUCGACUUCAUNAAGUUGGA